CAAUAACCAACUUAAUAGACAUUAACCUAUAAUUCACUCGCCUAACCUCGACCACGGACUCCCUUAGAUCCCUAUCAACCAAGAUGCCCACUCCAUUCUUACCUCUCACGACCCCAGAAUACCACAACUUAAACCGGUCUGUAUUCCUCGCCUUCGACCCUUUCAACCUAGUCUCCUGGACACAGGCUAUGUUAACCCUCCUCUUCUGAAGAACCUUCGCCAACUAAAUGGACUUACCUGUCAAAGUGCCUAUGUUCCACGACCCGAUCCUUAAUCUAUGAGCGUCCGCUACCCUCUUCCCACCCUUGCC
rnacentral:lncRNA from 1 species